AAAAAAUCUUUGGGGGAAGGGGGUAUUUAUAGUAGAAAAAGGAGGGGAGAAAAAAAUAAAAAUAAAAUUCAGUGACCAAACGGUCACUGAACAGAACGGUCACUGAAAAGUGACCAAAACGGUCACAAAAGUGACCGUUUUGGUCACUGGCUCGACGAGCCACGAGCCGCUCGACUCGUGGCUUGUCUAAACUCGGCUUGCCUCCCGGCGAGGCCCGCUCGGCUCGUGCUCGGGCUUGUGAUUUCACGAGCCCGAGCCGCCCACGAGCCUCUUUUCCACGAGCCGAGCCGGCUCGGCCCAAUUGACAUCCCUACAUAAUUUAGUACAUAAAUGUAUACGAUUAUAGCCCACUUCAAUCGUUGUCGACAUUUGAAUAUUCCUCCCACUGUCCUCAUUAGAAUCAUCCGAACGUAUGACAAUUAUUGGGAGAUGGAAUGUUUGCCAACGACUCAUCAUUGUUGGAUUCAUCUUCAAACGAAACUAUGAACUCAAACACAUCAUCAAGUACGCUGGGAGGUGACUACAAGGCCUCACUUGAAAUUUCAUUCAGGUUGGGAAAAUGAACAACAGAAAUGGCUUUCCUACCAUUUGGAAGGUUGACUUCCUCAUCAUUCGAAGAAAUUAUGAAGGAAAAAAUGGGGACAAAUCGGGUAUUAAGAGAGGCUCAUUCAGGUUCAACGGUUUGUGGAUUCUCGUGGACGACUAUUAUCUCAAUAUGGUUGUAUUAAGUGAAUUGUUUAAAAUGUUUGAUGUAUAAAGUGUCACAAAGUGGGAGAAGUGUUUAAAUGUAACUGAGAAGAAAGUCACGCCCUGCUAUUUAUAAUCAAAUUCUUGGAGGGAAUUAAUUAUGGUCAUUUACAAC
rnacentral:lncRNA from 1 species